rnacentral:rRNA from 1 species
AUACGGAGGGUGCAAGCGUUACUCGGAAUCACUGGGCGUAAAGCGCGCGCAGGCGGCUAUUUAAGUUGGAUGGGAAAGCCUACGGCUCAACCGUAGAACUGCAUCCAAAACUAUUAGACUAGAGUGUGGGAGAGGAAGAUGGAAUUAGUUGUGUAGGGGUAAAAUCCGUAGAGAUAACUAGGAAUACCAAAAGCGAAGGCAAUCUUCUGGAACACUACUGACGCUGAGGCGCGAAAGCGUGGGGAGCAAACAGGAUUAGAAACCCUAGUAGUCC